AGUUCGGACUGUAGGCUGCAACUCGCCUACACGAAGUUGGAAUUGCUAGUAAUCGUGGAUCAGCAUGCCACGGUGAAUACGUUCCCGGGCCUUGUACACACCGCCCGUCACACCAUGGGAGCCGGUAAUACCCGAAGUCAGUAGUCUAACCGCAAGGGGGACGCUGCCGAAGGUAGGAUUGGCGACUGGGGUGAAGUCGUAACAAGGUAGC
rnacentral:rRNA from 1 species